CUCCCAAAGUGCUGGGAUUACAGGUGUGAGUCAUGGCACCUGGCCAGUAGUCGUGUUUCAUAAGGUCACUGUGAUCACUGAAUUUUCUCACAGGAGAAAUACAGGGUUAGAAUCCUGAGAGCCUCUGUCCCAAUAUUUUUGUAAACUGAUCAAUACGUAGCCUUGUCUUAUGUGUGGUUCUGUUUAAAGACACUUAUUUAAUACAUGUUGUUCAUUCAUUAACUCUUGUUUUACAGGUAGUUCUGUUUAAAGACAUCUUGGUUAAUAUAUGUUGUUCAUUCAUGAACUCCUGGCCAACAGCACUCUCACACCCAAAUGAAGCUUAUCUCACACACAUAUUUUCUCUGUAAGGCACAUUGCAACUUUCUUGUACUUGAAACACUAGAUCGCCCUUCAAGCACCAUGCUUGGGGGCCAUUUCACAGGCAAAAUCACCACCCAAACGCACAAAAUAGGAACAAUGUGGCACUAAAUAGAUUUUGUAAAGAACAUUUGUUUGCAGUGGGAGAGUUGAAACAAGAAGGCAGCGUUGUCACCUUGUUUCAACUCAGCUGGGAAUGUGCCAGGUGGGCAACUCAAAUUUUUGCCACUCUUGAGCAUAUGUUUGUCCAUGAAUGACCAGGAAAGUGACCCAAGUUUUGUUUUUGAGAUAGGAUCCUGCUGUGUUGCCCAGACUGGAGUGCUGCAGUGAGAGCAUGGCUCAAGAUAAAACUUGAAUGGGUACUACAAUCUGGUUUUGAAGUUGCCCAAAGAAACUUGAAUGGCUUCCUCUUUCAUUCCCACAAGGCUCUGAAAACACUGCUGCUGAUCCGCUGUCUUCACUCCUAUCUCACCCUGGCAUAACUGCACUCUACUCAAACUCUAUCUGGAAGGAGCAGAGCUCAGGGGUUCUGACCCCACAGAAUGGGCUCCAGGCACUAAGAGCUGAACAACACAGAACACCUGUUCCAUGUCGAGUUGGUUAUCAUUUUAUACUUUUCUAAAAACCUCAAGGAAGAUCUUCAACAUAAGCCCUGGCAUAAGACAUUUUCUAUGUAUUCAAAAUAAGAAAAGGAAAUGGUGAAUAUAUUGACAAGUAGCAAUUUGAAUUAUAAUGAC
rnacentral:lncRNA from 1 species